CGUGUAGGCGGACUCGCAAGUCAGAUGUGAAAUCCCCGGGCUCAACUCGGGAACUGCAUCUGAAACUGCGAGCCUUGAGUACCGGAGAGGGUGGCGGAAUUCCUGGUGUAGAGGUGAAAUUCGUAGAUAUCAGGAGGAACACCGGUGGCGAAGGCGGCCACCUGGACGGUAACUGACGCUGAGACGCGAAAGCGUGGGGAGCAAACAGGAUUAGAUACCCUGGUAGUCCACGCCGUAAACGAUGGGUGCUAGGUGUCUCGGGUAUUGACCCCUGAGGUGCCGUAGCUAACGCGUUAAGCACCCCGCCUGGGAAGUACGGUCGCAAGACUAAA
rnacentral:rRNA from 1 species